rnacentral:sRNA from 1 species
UAAGCAUUUUAUACAUUUAAAUCGUUUGCUAGUUUGUGUUCGUUUCAACUGUCUUGUGCUCGUCUUAUAUUUAUAUAUUUCUAACAAAGAUGAUCCUUUAGAGGAUUCGGAAUCAGAUUAUUCUGAACAGCGAUCAGAAAGCGACUUCAAUAUUUCCGAUGAUGAUAUUGUAGAAAAAUCGACUAAAAAGGA